GAUGAACGCUGGCGGCGUGCCUAAUACAUGCAAGUCGAGCGAACAGACGAGGAGCUUGCUCCUCUGACGUUAGCGGCGGACGGGUGAGUAACACGUGGAUAACCUACCUAUAAGACUGGGAUAACUUCGGGAAACCGGAGCUAAGACCGGAUAACAUGUUGAACCGCAUGGUUCAACAGUGAAAGACGGUCUUGCUGUCACUUAUAGAUGGAUCCGCGCCGCAUUAGCUAGUUGGUAAGGUAACGGCUUACCAAGGCAACGAUGCGUAGCCGACCUGAGAGGGAGAUCGGCCACACUGGAACUGAGAAACGUUCCAGACUCCUACGCGAGGCAGCAGUAGGGACUCUUCCGCAAUGCGCGAAUGCCUGACGUAGCAACGCCGCGUGAGUGCAGAAGGUCUUCGGAUCGUAAAACUCUGUUAUUAGGGAAGAACAAAUGUGUAAGUAACUAUGCACGUCUUGACGGUACCUAAUCAGAAAGCCACGGCUAACUACGUG
rnacentral:rRNA from 1 species